UACGGAGGGUGCAAGCGUUAUCCGGCAUCACUGGGUUUAAAGGGUGCGUCGGCGGCUAGAUAAGUCAGAGGUGAAAGUUUGUCGCUUAACGAUAGAACUGCCUUUGAUACUGUUAAGCUUGAAAGUAGGUGAGGUUGGCGGAAUGUGACAUGUAGCGGUGAAAUGCAUAGAUAUGUCAUAGAACACCGAUUGCGAAGGCAGCCGGCUACCCUGACUUUGACGCUGACGCAGGAAAGCGUGGGUAGCGAAUAGG
rnacentral:rRNA from 1 species